rnacentral:tRNA from 1 species
GCCUGGUUGGCUCAGUCAGUAGAGCAUGUGACUCUUGAUCUCAGGGCCAUGAGUUCAAGUCCCAUGAGGGGCA